CAAUAGCGUAUAUUAAAGUUGUUGCAGUUAAAAAGCUCGUAGUUGGAUUUGUGGUUCGUCCCGCCGGCUGGGUCAUUGACUUUUGCUGUGCUGGUCGUCCAUCCUUGGGUGGAAUCUGUGUGGCAUUAGGUUGUCGCGCAGGGGAUGCCCAUCGUUUACUGUGAAAAAAUUAGAGUGUUCAAAGCAGGCUUAUGCCGUUGAAUAUAUUAGCAUGGAAUAAUGAUAUAGGACCUUGGUACUAUUUUGUUGGUUUGCGCAUCGAGGUAAUGAUUAACAGGGACAGUUGGGGGUAUUCGUAUUCCAUUGUCAGAGGUGAAAUUCUCGGAUUUCUGGAAGACGACCUACUGCGAAAGCAUUUACCAAGGAUGUUUUCAUUA
rnacentral:rRNA from 1 species